rnacentral:rRNA from 1 species
UACGUAGGGUGCGAGCGUUAAUCGGAAUUACUGGGCGUAAAGCGUGCGCAGGCGGAUGUUUAAGUCAGAUGUGAAAUCCCCGGGCUCAACCUGGGAAUGGCAUUUGAAACUGGGCAUCUAGAGUGCGUCAGAGGGGGGCGGAAUUCCACGUGUAGCAGUGAAAUGCGUAGAGAUGUGGAGGAACACCGAUGGCGAAGGCAGCGCCCUGGGAUGACACUGACGCUCAGGCACGAAAGCGUGGGGAGCAAACAGGAUUAGAGACCCUGGGAGUCCACGCGCUAAACUAUGUCAACUAGUUGUUGGGGAGGUAAGUUCUUAGUGACGAAGCUAACGCGUGAAGUUGACCGCCUGGGGAGUACGGCCGCAAGGUUG